UGAGCGUCAGUCUUCGUCCAGGGGGCCGCCUUCGCCACCGGUAUUCCUCCAGAUCUCUACGCAUUUCACCGCUACACCUGGAAUUCUACCCCCCUCUACGAGACUCAAGCCUGCCAGUUUCGGAUGCAGUUCCCAGGUUGAGCCCGGGGAUUUCACAUCCGACUUGACAGACCGCCUGCGUGCGCUUUACGCCCAGUAAUUCCGAUUAACGCUUGCACCCUCCGUAUUACCGCGGCUGCUGGCACGGAGUUAGCCGGUGCUUCUUCUGCGGGUAACGUCAAUCGACGCGGUUAUUAACCNCAUCGCCUUCCUCCCCGCUGAAAGUACUUUACAACCCGAAGGCCUUCUUCAUACACGCGGCAUGGCUGCAUCAGGCUUGCGCCCAUUGUGCAAUAUUCCCCACUGCUGCCUCCCGUAGGAGUCUGGACCGUGUCUCAGUUCCAGUGUGGCUGGUCAUCCUCUCAGACCAGCUAGGGAUCGUCGCCUAGGUGAGCCGUUACCCCACCUACUAGCUAAUCCCAUCUGGGCACAUCUGAUGGCAAGAGGCCCGAAGGUCCCCCUCUUUGGUCUUGCGACGUUAUGCGGUAUUAGCUACCGUUUCCAGUAGUUAUCCCCCUCCAUCAGGCAGUUUCCCAGACAUUACUCACCCGUCCGCCACUCGUCAGCNAAGCAGCAAGCUGCUUCCUGUUACCGUUCGACUUGCAUGUGUUAGGCCUGCCGCCAGCGUUCAAU
rnacentral:rRNA from 1 species